rfam:Macrostomum lignano uti_cns_0000215, whole genome shotgun sequence.
AAAAAGGGUCUUUGCCGUUAAUGGCACAGCAAUGUGGGAGUGUAAUCCCACUGCGCUGCGGAAUGGCUAUCACGACAUUUCGAAGACAUAAUUUUUAGGGCAGGGCAGCUAACCUAAUAAACAGGCAUAGCGCCCUU